rnacentral:rRNA from 1 species
CCUACGGGUGGCAGCAGUGGGGAAUAUUGCACAAUGGGGGAAACCCUGAUGCAGCGACGCCGCGUGAGUGAAGAAGUAUUUCGGUAUGUAAAGCUCUAUCAGCCGGGAAGAAAAUGACGGUACCUGACUAAGAAGCCCCGGCUAACUACGUGCCAGCAGCCGCGGUCAUACGUCGGGGGCAAGCGUUAUCCGGAUUUGCUGGGUGUAAAGGGGGCGUAGACGGGUGCGCAAGUCUGAAGUGAAAUGCCGGGGCUGAACCCCGGAACUGCUUUGGAAACUGGGGAGCUAGAGUGGAGGAGAGGUAAGCGGAAUGCGUAGUGUAGCGGUGAAAUGCGUAGAUAUUAGGAAGAACACCAGUGGCGAAGGCAGCUUACUGGACUGUAACUGACGUUGAGGCUCGAAAGCGUGGGGAGCGAACAGGAUUAGAUACCCCGGUAGUC